UACGUAUGGUGCAAGCGUUAUCCGGAAUGACUGGGUGUAAAGGGAGCGUAGACGGUUGUUCAAGUCUGAUGUGAAAGCCCUCGGCUUAACUGGGGGAGUGCAUUGGAAACUGAAGGACCAGAGUAUCGGAGAGGCAAGUGGAAUUCCUAGUGUAGCGGUGAAAUGCGUAGAUAUUAGGAGGAACACCAGUGGCGAAGGCGGCUUGCUGGACGAAAACUGACGUUGAGGCUCGAAAGCGUGGGGAGCAAACAGG
rnacentral:rRNA from 1 species